GCAGCCCCAAAAAAGCAGCUAUUUUCUGUUAUCCUGGAGUGCCCAAACCAUUAUUUAUUCUAUAUAUUUCUGGAAGGAGGGCUUGGCCAGCCCUGGUGUCGGAGCACCAAGGUUACUUGAUGACUGCGGUAUCCAGUAUGUUUUCACUAUUGUUUGAGAUGUACAUUUACAUAGAAAAUGAAUAACUUUUCCAGAAACUAUGUCAGAUCAAUUUAAUCAGAAACCCAUACUCUUUAUUGUAAAUAAUAUUUACCACGCUGCACGUUCUAGUAGUAGAAGUAGCAGAAAAUUUACCUUUCCUAAACAGACCUUAUAUCAAGUCUUGAAAGAAAAACUCCAGAGUGAAUGAACAAACACUGUUUAAAGGAACACUCUGCUGCCCAAAUAAGCAAAAAAUAAAUAAUUAAACUUAUCAUUUAAAAGCCUCUGAAUUAGUUCACACGUGCAUGCACGCAUUUCUUUUAAAUAUUAUGUUAGUCCAAAAAACAGGUAUCAUUGCAUACAGCAAUACUCUGGUUAUUUUGGCAUCCUGUCUACUGGGCUAAUACAGCUAAUCCAAUCUACAUUUAAAAAAAAAAAAAAAAAAGAAGAUUUCUCCUGUAUUAAAUCUCCAGGUUUUGAUUACGUCUCAUAUGACACCCACUUCAACCAGGAUGCAAGCAUAGGUCUCGCAAAUAUCUGAGAUUAGCUGUGUUAUAGAAUUUUUCCAGCUCAGCUACUUGGGCAUACAAUUUAAAGUUCCCUAGACAGGACAUCAUGGUUCCUGGUUUAGUCUGGGUGUUUGGGUAUAAAACAAAGUUAAGAUUGCUCCUAAAGUAGUCACUGCAGCACAACGCUUUAUCAGCAGAGUGAAUUAUGUAAAGGUUUAUCUGCCAUACAGACAGAAAAAGAUUAAUGAUGGGUUAUAAUUUAGCACUUUCCACGCAUUUAUUAUCAAUAUAUUGGAUGCACUGUGACUGUUAUAUACUUUACGCAAAAUGUUUGUAGAAAGAGAACGCAGAAACCCUUUUAAUAUGUGAAGUAGUGUAUUGAUAACAUUAUGUUUAUUUAAAUAUUCCAAUCUUUGAAAUCUAUAUUUUUAUAUGUAUAAACAUAUGUAUGUAUGCAUAUUGGGCUUUAUAUGAUGACAGAUAUAUGCUGUAGUGAACCACUGUGCAUCUUACUGUAAAACAUUCCAUUUUUAAAAAAACUAUCCGAAAGAUUGUAAUUGUCAGUACGCCCUCUUUAAAUGCUCCCAUAAAAGGAACCUAGAGUUAAAGGACCACUGAUGUCACCCCAACCCCUUCAUCUCAAUGAAAUGGUCAGAGUGCAGCGGUCCUGUCAUUUUAACCCUGCAAAGUAAAGCAUUGUAGUUUUUUUUCUAAAAUGUAAUGUUUACAUGGCAUUAAAAGGGUUAAAUCUAGGAUAAAACACGACGUUCUCACACUGCCGAAAGUCAAGGGAGGUCUAGCCCUGCCAGAUUUUAAGAGAUAUCAUAGGGCCACACACAUCCAAAGGAUGGUGGAGUGGACCAAACAGGGAGUGACAAAACUUUGGAAGGAUGUUGAGUCAGCACAAGUGGAGAAACCGAUAGCGGUCCUCCCCUGGCUGGACCAUCAAAAAGGUAGGCAACUGGCAGCCCCACACCCCCUAAUUAAAGCAACCAUACAGGUGUGGCAAGCAAUGGCUGCACCACUCUCACUUACCACCACACCGCCCCCAAUGCUCCCCCUGGUACAUAAUGAGGCCUUCCCACCGGGAAGGGAACCGAAGACGUUGGUUCAACUACUGAGACAUGAAAUACCAAGGCUCUGCCACGCCAUGGACAACGGCCACAUCAAAACACUAGAGACCAUGACGGGGAACACCACUCACUCAUUCAUGCUACAAUUCAGAUACCGACAACUGAUAGGGUUCACACAGGUGACCACUCAAAACAAUCACACCCUAAGACCUCUAACGGCAUUUGAAGAGAUCUGCAGGGGCCUCUCCACUCUCUACGGCAUGAUCAUGCGGAUGAGGAGACUACCACCCCCAGGCUUCAUGCGGAAAUGGGAAACAGCCCUAUGCACCACAUUCACACCUAACCAAUGGGAGAAAAUAUGCACCCUCUCACUUCACUGCGCACCGUCCAGUGGGACGCAGGAAACAGCAUACAAAAUCCUAGCCCUCUGGUACCGUACCCCGCUUCACACACACACAUACGACCCCACGACGGACUAUACAUGCUGGAGAUGGACAAGACACACGGGUACAUAUCUCCACAUAUGGUGGGAUUGCCCAACUAUCCAACCAUACUGGACGUCCAUCUACACGAUUAUAAAAAGGUUCACAGACACCCCAACACCCAUGAACCCUGCAACAUUUCUCAUCCACCACACCACGACAAAGACAUCAACUUACAAAAAAUCCCUAACAAUCAGAAUACUUAACGUGGCCAAAAGCCUAAUCCCUCUCUACUGUAAAAAACAAAGCGGACCCCCCCCCCAGCGACGUGGUACCAACGCAUGGAGGAGCUGAGAGCACUAGAAGAGCUCUCUCCCUGCUGGCAGAGGGGAAGACACAGACAUUUAUGACGAUCUGAACACAUUGGAUUCUGACUACUGCUCGCGCGGACUUCCAGGACAUGUUGAACUGACUGAGGACAACAGACGAGACAAAGGACUAACAAAACCAAAAAAAAAAAAAAACUUCUACCCCCCCCACCCCUCCUUCACCCCUUCCCCCUGCUCUGUAAUGGCCCACGGGCAGCGAUGCGACACGGUAGAGAGAAUAGGAGGAAGAAGAGAUCUUAGGCGGAUGGGCACCCCUAAAAUGAGAAACAAGAGAGGGGUCCACUGUCAGGCAAAGGAAAGGGGGAGGCAGGGUUAACACACCACCCAUGAAGGUAUAAGAGUCAGCUGGCAGACACGGCCACGACAGAGUAAACAACCACCACUCAUGCCAGAAAAGUAGACAACAACACCACCAACAACGAAGACCUUAGGUCUGAACCUGCAGGACAUAAACACCACCCCACUCGGUAGGGAGCAACACGCUAAUAGUUAUAAAGCAGGAUACGAACCACCCCUGCCACAAUAGGAGACCCAGAAAGGCUAUAGCAACUAAAAACUAAGGGGAAUGGCCUAUUCAAACUUACACACUAUAGGAGUCCAACCGGGAAAAGUUAUUUGUUGUUACUUGGUGACUUGCACACCACCACCGUUGCUCUUUGAAACGUACCAAUGCUGGACCUGCGUGUCCACACCGACGGUUUCAUAUACAAUUGAAAAUAAUGAAUAAAAAGAAAUUCACAAAAGGGUUAAAUCCACCUCUAGUUGCUGUCUUCCUGACUGCCACUUGAGGUGCUUCCACUGCACUGACUAAGUAAGUAAAAGUUGGUCAUGUCACAUGGCAGCUUAUCUUUAAUUCUUUGAGAAACACUGAAUGCUCAUGCAAAUCAAGUCCACAAUGCAUUGUCUCUGCGCUGGAAAAAGGUGAGCACGAAGAUUUUUUUACUUUAUUUUAUUUUUAUAUUUUUACUGCAAGCGGGGGCUGGAAAUGACUAGGGACAGAGGCACCUGUAAUUUCUACAGGUUUGCAUUUCUAAUGCUACAGUGUUCCUUUAAAUGACCUUUACACUGAUUUUGAUCUAUAUUUUAUUGCAUUGCAUUUAUGUUUUGCACUGCUUAGGAUUCUCAAUGAAUUGUCAGCUUGAACUUUCUAAAUGGGCACAAAUGUCUUAGGAACAGUAUAGUGUUUCAGCAACUGUCUAAAAAUAACCAGGUGUGAUGCAGUUAUAUAGCUUUCAUUAGAAGGCUUUAUAAAUGAUCACUUCUUUAUGCAAAGGUGGGAGCAAAGGUUUAUAAAUGAAUUCUGUCAAAGCAUAAGAUAUACACUUAUAAAUCUUGCUAGUUCAGUAAAGUAAAACGGCAUAGCAGACAGUGAAAAUCAACUUAAUGUUUAUUAAAUGAGAAUGUUACAGCUGAAUUUGAAUAAUUUCAUAUACUCUAUAAAUCUAGACCACCACUCGGGAGCCGCCGUAGUCUUCCAGACAGUCUUCUUCUGAAGCGCCAGGAGCUGAUGUCACUGCUGUACUGCUGCAUAGCAUUGAGGUCUAUGGAAGAUCCCGUGAGAUCCUUCAUUGGGAGAGCCAAUUCACUGCAACAGUCAUUGGUGACGACUAGGUGAUUGACACUUUUUGAUGAUAGCAACCCCACCCAAUGUCAAAAAGUGUCAACCGAAGGAAAAACACUGACAUCUGUCUCGGUAUAUGUUUUGACUAGGUUGAAAUUUAAGUGAAAUUCCAACCAAGUCAAUAUGAGUAUUUUAAAAUUGAUCUUUUAUACAAUACUUUUUUUGUAUGUGGGAGGGGUAAGGAAGAGACAGUGUCGCUUUAAGGUUGAAAAGAAAGGGGGUGCAGGAGGGAACUGGUCCUAAUGACUGGGAUCCUGGACAGUGCAACAUUUGAAAUCUGUGUAUAUUUUAUGGUCCCCUCAUCAUAUAUACUUGUUGGCUUCCAGCAUGCCUACUAAGAUACAUGAUAUAAUUAAAAUACACUUAUAGCGUUAAGGAUGAUUUAAUGGAUAACAACAAUUUUUAUUGUAAGUUGUGUAUCACACUCCUUUUAGCACAGACAUAUCUGCCACAUUAGACUUCUUAAUAGACAGAGUGGUUGUCAUCUUGUUGUAUAUAAAUGUAGGAAAAUUUACUGAAUUUAAAUGCACAAAAAAAAAAAAAAAAUCUGAGUUUUGCACCUUUUUUCUUUGGAAUUUAUGCCUGUCCUGGUCAAUCUGUAGCUUGUACAAUUACCGAAAAUGAUCAUUAAAAAGUAAAAUCUGAAUGAAUGACUCUGUAGUUGCUACUAAUUGUUUAUUUUACUUUUUGUUUUAUGUACAUGUGAUUACUGUUUUAAAUAACAUUAAAUGUUCCCUUAGGAUGUUAUAUGAAUCAUUCCAUAAAUACAGAGAUAUGUAUAUGAUUUUGUGUUUAUACGAUUUUAUUAAUAUGUAAAUAUAUAGAUAUUUUUAAAUUGCUAUCUUUGUGGGGGGUUUUUGUUUUUAAUUUGUACCAAAAAAGGACUUUUGACACGAGUGUCAAACAUUGUGUUGUGUUAUGAGUUUCUGG